UUUAAUAAGUACUGAGCACCUGAUGUUAUAGGGCAGAAAGUCUUCAUACCUGAUUGUGACAUCAUAGAGCAUGUCUUGAGUAAACAUUCUGUAAGUUGAAAAGUUCAAUUAAAAGGAAAUAUGUGAUAUUUGAAGACAUGUACAGGAGGAAGUGACUGAGUUUAGUAGGGGAAUCUGGAAGACUUCAAAGAGGAGUUGUACUUCUGAAAUAAAGCAUCAACAAUUUAAUCUGCUUCAGACUCUGUUUUCAAAAGAACCUGUGGUGUCUUCUGGUUUAAAACAUACUUAUGAACUUUAUAAUUUGAUCAAUCAACCUUCCUAUUAUUAAGCCUACUCCACCUGUGAUCCACUCCUGGAAAUAGUCACACUGCCUAAUUAACUGGAAGGCUUUUCUCUUUCCCAUAUUCUGAAAAGAAAUAUUCCUCGGCUUAAAGACAGGAACAAGAUGGUCUUGAGUAAUAAAAAAAAUAAAUGUUCUACUUACA
rnacentral:lncRNA from 13 species